rnacentral:misc_RNA from 1 species
AAGUCGUAACAAGGUUUCCGUAGGUGAACCUGCGGAAGGAUCAUUAUCGAGUUUUUGAAGCGAGGGCUUGCUGCUGGUGCGGAAACGCGCAUGUGCACGGCUUUCGCGCUCAAAUCCACUCAACCCCUGUGCACCCUAUAUCUGGUCGAAACGAGUAGUUCGGGCUUCUGCAGGACGCGGAGUAACGAGUAGAAAGGAGGGCAACAGUCUUCCGUUUGAAAGUGAAAUGUCUCGGCUCGGCUCGAGUGAAAGCUUCGACUUGCUUUUAUAAACCACUCGUUGUCUUGUGAAUGUAAUGCUCCCUGUGAGCGAUAAUGAAAUACAACUUUCAACAACGGAUCUCUUGGCUCUC